rnacentral:rRNA from 1 species
UACAUGGGGUGCAAACGUUGCUCGGAAUUAUUGGGCGUAAAGCGCACGUAGGCGGUUCGUUAAGUCGGAUGUGAAAGCCCUCGGCUCAACUGAGGAAGUGCACCCGAAACUGGCGAGCUUGAGUACGAAAGAGGAUCGCGGAAUUCCCGGUGUAGAGGUGAAAUUCGUAGAUAUCAGGAGGAACACCGGUGGCGAAGGCGGGUCUCUGGGCAGUAACUGACGCU